GACGAACGCUUGCGACGUGCCUAAGAAAUGCAAGUCGAGCGAGGCAGCAAUGCCUAGCGGCGAACGGUCGCGUAACACGUAAGCAACCUGCCCCAAAGACCGGGACAACGUUCCGAAGGAGCGCCAAUACCGGAUGUGCCCAUCUGUUGACAUCGGCGGAUGAGUAAAUCGAGCAAUCGGCUUUGGGAGGGGCUUGCGGCCUAUCAGCUAGAUGGCGGGGUAACGGCUCACCAUGGCGACGACGGGUAGCUGGUCUGAGAGGAUGGUCAGCCGGAUUGGGACUGAGAUACGGCCCAGACUCCUACGGGGGCAGCAAUUAGGAAUCUUGCGCAAUGGGCGAAAGCCUGACGCAGCGACGUCGCGUGGGGA
rnacentral:rRNA from 1 species